GACGAACGCUGGCGGCGUGCUUAACACAUGCAAGUCGAACGGUGAAGGUGGAGCUUGCUCCGCCGGAUCAGUGGCGAACGGGUGAGUAACACGUGUGCAACCUGCCCCUGACUUCGGGAUAACUCCUCGAAAGAGGUGCUAAUACCGGAUACGAAUCCUGCAUGCAUCUGCGGGAUUGGAAAGUUUUUCGGUCAGGGAUGGGCCCGCGGCCUAUCAGCUUGUUGGUGAGGGAGUGGCUCACCAAGGCGACGGCGGGUAGCCGGCCUGAGAGGGCGACCGGCCACACUGGGACUGAGACACGGCCCAGACUCCUACGGGAGGCAGCAGUGGGGAAUAUUGCGCAAUGGGCGAAAGCCUGACGCAGCAACGCCGCGUGAGGGAUGACGGCCUUCGGGUUGUAACCUCUUUCAGCAGGGAAGAAGCGAAAGUGACGGUACCUGCAGAAGAAGCACCGGCUAACUACGUGCCAGCAGCCGCAGUAA
rnacentral:rRNA from 1 species